AUGCUUUUGUAGUUCUUAAGCAUGAUGAUUGGGUUUUCAUGCUCAUGUGUGAGAUGUGCCUCCCUCAAACCUUGUUAGGAAGUUGGCAUGUUACCCAUCUGAUG